CACGCUCACGACCCAGGGCUGGGUUCUCGUGGUGCAGGUGGCACUGGGCCACGUCGCGCUCGCGGGCUGUGUAACCGGUAGUGUCCUGGAGUGGAUAGGAGGCAUCCCGCUCCUUGUCCCGAUAGACAGCUUCCCGGUUCUGGUCGCGGUUCUCCUGGGUGAGCUGGUCCAACUGGCCCUCCAGCUCUUCGAUGCGCCGCCGCUGGGUCUCCAACAGCUGCUGCUGACUCUCGAUGAUGUUGUUCAGCUCCAGCAGCCUGCAGGAGAUCUCUCCAUUCCAGCCGUCCGGGGUCUUCACCUAACAGCCUAAUGAAGCCCACCAACCCACCGUAUUCCAGCAUCCUCAGAAAUGGCAUCCCCAUUCAUUCUGUGAAAUUGCAGCCAUCCUUCAAGACUUGAAUCAAAUACCCAGCGAGGAUAUACUCUGCACUUGGAAGUCUUAGGCAUGAGAAUUUCCAGGAGUUGGAGAUGAACCGGGGGCUAUAUGAUGAGUUCCACACCAUCCUGGGCUACAGCAUUAGACUCUAUCUCAAAAAAACAAAAUAGCAACAAUAGAGAGACUUAAGUUAGAUGCCACCUUACUGAUUUCCCCAGUGAGAAAUGUGUACUUCUACAGAGAUCCUGAAGAGACUGAAAAGGAAAGGCAAGCAGAAAGGUGCUGAGAAGGCUGUGACUAACCAGGGAGGAAACUCAGGGUCCAUAGACUAGCUGGCUUUCUGAUAUGAGGUUCCAGACUGGUCUAAAGGCAUGCAAAGUGCCUUCUAUGCUUAUGCAGCAGUUCUCUAGUUCAGUGUGCCACUGAAUACUGGAUUGCAGCUCCCACUGAUCAGGCCACUGACUUGGUAGGAACAGCUACUGAAUGAAUGCUCCUAGGCUAUCCUCCACAGGCUCUUGAGCAGAAAAUGAAAUCAAUGAAAAAUAAACAUCACUUUCUUUUUAAA